rnacentral:misc_RNA from 1 species
UCUUUUCUUUUGAUAGGAGAGUUUUUAAAAUCAGUGUUAUUUUUGUAAGUUUAAGAGAAGUUUGUGUAUUGAAUUUUUUAUUUUUAAUAUUAAAGAGCUUUGUUAAACUUAGACUUAAGUUUAGGUCAUUUUGGGGGUUUAGCUCAGUUGGCUAGAGCAUCGGCUUUGCAAGCCGAGGGUCAAGGGUUCGAGUCCCUUAACCUCCAUUGGGCUUAUGUCCUAAAUCGUAAUUAAGUAUGUUUUUAAGUAACUUUGUUAAAGUAAUUGUUGGAAUGUGAAACAGAGGAAGUUAAAAUUUCUGGGUUAAGUUGAGAUCUGUUGAUAUUAAGAAGAAUCUCUAGAAGCAAAAGCAAGCUUUCGAUAAAACCUGAAGUUGUUUCGCUAAAGUGCAAGGAUUAAACAAGAUUGUAUUUUCCAGUAGCCUAUUUUAUAAACGAUCUGCAUUUAGUAAAUAGUUUUUAGUUAAGAAAUAAUGUAGAUUGCUAAGUGUGAUGCC